rnacentral:rRNA from 1 species
GACGAACGCUGGCGGCGUGCUUAACACAUGCCAGUCGUACGGUAAGGCCCUUUCGGGGGUACACGAGUGGCGCACGGGUGAGUAACACGUGAGUAACCUGCCCACAACUUUGGGAUAACGCUAGGAAACUGGUGCUAAUACUGGAUAUGUGCUCCUGCUGCAUGGUGGGGGUUGGAAAGCUCCGGCGGUUGUGGAUGGACUCGCGGCCUAUCAGCUUGUUGGUGGGGUAGUGGCCUACCAAGGCGGCGACGGGUAGCCGGCCUGAGAGGGUGACCGGCCACAUUGGGACUGAGAUACGGCCCAGACUCCUACGGGAGGCAGCAGUGGGGAAUAUUGCACAAUGGGCGCAAGCCUGAUGCAGCAACGCCGCGUGCGAGAUGACGGCCUUCGGGUUGUAAACCGCUUUCAGCAGGGACGAAGCUUUUUGUGACGGUACCUGCAGAAGAAGCACCGGCUAACUACGUG